UCAGAGAUGUCGUCCUCGGAGGAGGAAAGCCUGGCUUCUGAUGACACCUCAUAUGGCAUCCCUGAUCUGCCCUAUGAUACACCAUCUGAGGACGGAUCCUCAAAGGAGAUCCCUGACUGGAGGCUUCCAGUGGUCCCCACCAA